UCCGUAGGCGGGCUAAUAAGUCAGGGGUGAAAUCCCACAGCUUAACUGUGGAACUGCCUUUGAUACUGUUAGUCUUGAGUUAUAUGGAAGUAGAUAGAAUGUGUAGUGUAGCGGUGAAAUGCAUAGAUAUUACACAGAAUACCGAUUGCGAAGGCAGUCUACUACGGAUAUACUGACGCUAAUGGACGAAAGCGUGGGGAGCGAACAGGAUUAGAUACCCUGGUAGUCC
rnacentral:rRNA from 1 species